UCAAAGGGAAGAAGAGCUCGCUAGAGAUUGAAACGCUGUACCGCUCAACAUCUUCGUCUGCUGCUGAUUGAUCCAGAGAGAGAUAUCGGACGGCUUUUGGGCGCCGUUCCCGGAGCGGUUCUUGUGCCGGGCGAGCGCGUCGUCCAGGAGUAGAACGACGAGCGCCGUCACCGCGGCCAGGGCGGCCGCAGCCGAUCGCAUAAUAAUCGUCCGCGACGAGGACCGCUUGGUGCCACCGCCAGGUGUUGCACGCACGACACCGGUGCGAGGAGGAGGAAGAAGAGGAAGACCGCUCCUUCCCUCUGGCAGUCGUCGAAAAAUAAAAAAAAAAAAGAAACAGGAUACAGAUAGGAUAGGUAACGCAGAGGGCAACGUUUCCCCGGUCGCUUAUCUCUCCCCUGAAAGCGGAGCUCGCGUGCCGUCCGCUUCGACGCGUGUGAAAUCUGGGAUUUCACGGGGUCACCUCGGACGUAACCCACGGUGCGGAGGAGAGGAUCCUCUUUUCUACCCUCCCCUCCCCGAUGACGAAGUGAUUUCAAUGCGCGGUUGUCCACCCCCUCGAUUGAUAAGGGGAAGCGGAGAGAAGAAGGAUUUGUAUAUAUAUAUGAUAUCGCUUCGAAAGAGAUGAAUCCUCGCGUGCGUGUCUGCACGCUUGUCGCGUACGGUACGAUGCGUGCGAACCGCGUCGCUCCGUCAGACUGACUGACUGACUGACUGACUCUCAAUGAGAGGGAGGCCGAGAGACCUCUCCGUGAAGAGCGAGAUAGAGAUCUCGCAGACGGACUCUCGGGAGCACGCCGGGGAGAGCGAGUUCGAACGGAAUAAGGCUGCGUGCACAACGCAAACAGCCAUCGCUCUCCGCUUUUUCGUACAUGCUUCGGACGCUUUUUCCCGUUUCUUCCCGGACAGCACCAUGUUCAACAUUGGCGCAUAUAAAACUUCUUUAAGAUAUCUUUUGGAUAUAAUAUCAGAAUUUGUUAAAGAUAUCUUAUGCGCCAAUUUUAGACAUGGUGCUGUCUGGGUUACUAUCUUGGAAAAAUAAGUCUUGAAGAAUAUUUAGUUUUACAUGUAUAAGUCAUAAUCAUCUUGAAUAAUUUUCUUACUAUUUAAUAUACGAGUUAAAAAUGGACCGAUUGAUCGAAUUUAGACUUAUAAUAAACUGCAAGAAUACGGCAAGAGAGAGGAUUAUGGAACUUCUAAUAUUAUAAAUUAGGCAUUCACAGUAAAAAAAUAAAAAUUUCAAUUACGUAUUCAUUUUUGCAAUAAAUAAAUCUCGAGAAUUUUAAUUCUCUUUAAUUUCGGAUGCACAUAAUUGCAGAAUCCAUUUUUAAAUCGUUUGAUUGGAAACUUGAAAAAGUGUAUAUAGGAAUACACGGAAAUCAAAAUUCAAAUUAGCAAGAAAAAAGUGAAAAGAAGUCUUGACGGAGAACCAGUUUUUUUAACGUCUUUUAAUUGUCGGUUUUCUGUGCAGUUUCCCCAUUCGUUCUUUAUAUCUUGCCGACAAUUGAAUUUUACUUCCGUGUUGCGUAAAUUCACCACAUCUCACAUUUGCAUUCUACGCUCAACUUACACAUUACAAAAUACUUAUAAAUUGCUAUACACAUAUUUUCUAAUACUUAAGAUUCGUUCAAGUUUAAGCACAUCGAGGAAACACUGAAUGUUUAACUGAAAGAAAAAUAAGAGGAAAAGGGACGCAUCUCUUUGAUAUAAAAUAUAAAUUUUUAUUUCAUCCCUUUUCCUUUAUAUUUUUAUAUUUAUUAUCGUGAUGCCUCGAUGAUGUUACCACGAACUCAUGAUUUUAUAAAACUUCAUGUUACAUAUGCAAGAAGUUUACGACGCGACGAAGCGGAAGUUUUCCCCAGAUUGUAUAAGAAAAGUUCACGUUCAUCAAUAAUCGGAAAUAUAUAAUUAGAAUUAGAAUUAGAAUUCUAUUUUUAGAUGGAUCUUCCGAAUCGCCGAUACUCUCUUCAAGAGCGUCUAUCCUCAAUGAAUAAUCAAUAGUAUAACCGUUGUAUCAGUGGAACGGACUACCUCCAACAAGUAGUCCAUUGUUAUCCUACGCAGCUGAAAGCCUCUCCGUCUUCCUCCUCUACUUUAUCCUUCUUCUUCCGGUACGCUUCUUCCAGUACGACCGUGAACAUGUUGCGGAAUGGUCACAAAUUCUUAAAGGCACGGUCAGAAACAUCCAAUGACGGAAUAUCACAAUCAGCUGUACGGGAAAAAUGACGUCAAUUCCUGCAUCGCGAUUCUUUCCAAACUCGAGAGGUCCACUUUGGAACCACGUAUUUUGAUCUCGAAGAGAAACCGAGAGGACGGACGCAAGUUUUGAGAAAAGAAUGAGAAAUUCUCUACGUAUAAUACGGCUCUCCCGGUGCAACUUCGCCUGCCAACAGCGAAUUCAAUUAGGAUUGCGCGGCGGACGUACAAAAACAUUCGAUCAGGAAUAAACCGGCAGCCUGCCUGCCUCGCGGACGCUCUCUUACAACUCGUCUCGCUUUCCCGUUCCCAUGGACCAUGUAUAUAACGCGUGUAGGUUGCGUUAUCGAUUGCACGUUUUGUCGCCGGAUUACUCUUCGGCAGAUAUUUCUGAUAUGCAUGUCAUAGAGCGAUCCUUCAUUAAGUUCAAACUUUUCAAAAAUCUGCAUCUCUUUUCGAAAGACAAAUAAUCUCGCAAUUUUUGAUUAAUGUAAAAUCGAGCAAGAUAAACUUGUAACAGGAGGAUGUAAGUUGUAUAUAUUGUAAUCAAAUAUUUUUGUCCUCUUUAGAUUAGGUAUAUUACUUUUACUCAUUUUGCGAAUGUACAGCAGUCCAAGACUCCAAAAUUGAAAUAUGCUUGUUAUAUCCACAUAUAGAGAUUCGAGUGAUCGAAGAAUUGCCGUUCGAUCGCAGUUAUAUUUCUGUGGAAGGUCUGCCCCGAUCGCAUCUCCCUUUAUUCUCCCUCGAUCUUUUAUUCGUCUGUGGCACAAACCGCGAUGAGGGAGAGAAAGAAAGGAUCCGGAGUAGCUCGCAGAAGAUCGAGAGAAUACAGACGCAAAAAAAAACCCGUCUAGCAUAAUCACAUUAUCGAUCACAUCUUGCUCGAUUUCUGCGUUCGCGUAGUCGGCGGAUUUAUCCAGGACGAGAUUCUAUUUAGAGAGAACAUAACGUGUAAUUGUGUUCAAAUUAUAAUUUUAGGCGAAAUGUUGUUACUCUUAAAAUGGUUUUAUCAAAAUAAAAGAUGUAUUUAUACGCGUA